UUCAAGAAGUUGUAGGUGUAGUUUAGGGCUGGAACUAACGAUUAUUGUCAUUAUCAAUUCAUCUGCUGAUUAUUGUCUGGAUUCAUCGUUUAGUCCAUAAAAUGUCAGAAAACAGUGGAAAAUGUCUGUGACUAUUCUGAAGUGAUUUUGGAGAGGGACAUUAGGGAGUUAAAUACACUGGUUGACUGACAUGGCACCAUUGUAGCCUAUUCAUAAAAUGCUAUCAAUCCAGACUUAAUAUGAUAUUAAUAAUGUAUGCAUAUUGCUUCCUCUAAAUUUCAGGUUGUGGUCGACUAGCGGGGCCUGCUUUCGUCGUGGCUCCAAACCGUAACGUUAGUUGGGACUUUUUCUUUAGGCUACCUACAUUAGCUUUAGCCUGGCUGGUAGCAGCUUUCUGUGGUGAAAAAUGGCCGGGAGAUGUCGUGAUUACGUUGCAUUAAUCAGGUGAUUUAGUUUGUCUUUGCAGCGAACAUAAAACACUGACUACUGUAGCUUCCCAUGGAAAUGUGCAUCACUGUCAGCGGCAGCUGCCGCUUACCGUACUUUUCUACACACGGAGAGCCUCACUUCCCAUAACGAACCCCGUCGGACUAACGUUACGUCACAUACACACGUUGCCCACAUGGCCACCUGUCUUAAAGGGGAAGGCUCGGCCGGUAACAAUUAUGUAAAAGGAGAACGGUGAAAGUUAACUUUUCUAUCAAGCAGCAAAAAAGUUUGAAUGUCAACAUUGCAACGUCCUGCGAUGUGACUAUCGCGCACG